GGGGCGAUGGCGGCGCGGGGCGCCGAGGCCGAGGCGCUGUUCGAGGCCCACACGGCGGCCGAGCUGCGGGCGGUGGAGCGGCGGCUGCGCGCCGGCAUCGAGCAGAAGCGGGAGGAGCUGCGGCAGAUGGUGGGCGAGCGCUACCGCGACCUCAUCGAGGCGGCCGACACCAUCGCCGAGAUGCGGCGCAGCGCCGAGCGCCUGCUGGGCGCCGUGCGGGGGCUGCAGCGGGGCGGCUCGGCCCGGCCCGAGCCCCCGGCCACGGUUCGCCCCCCGGCCCAGCGCGGGUUCUAUGGGGCGGCGGCUCAGCUGAAGCUGCUGCUGGAGGUGCCGGAGCAGGUCUGGGGGGCGGUGGAGGGGGGUCGGUACCUCCCGGCCGCCCGGCUCCACCUGCUGGGCGCCCACCUGCGCCGGCAGCUCCAGCUGGACGCCCCCCGCGCCCGGAGCAGCCCCGUCCUCGCCCGGUUCCCCAUCCUGCUGCGCCAGGUGGCCGCUGCCAGCCACCUCAGAUCCACCAUCCUGCAGGAGAGCAAGGCCCUGCUGCGGUCGCGGGCGGUGUCGGACCAGGCGGUGGCCGAGGCCCUGUGUGCCAUCAUGCUGCUGGAGGACAGCUCCCCACGCCAGGCCCUGGCUGACUUCCUCCUGGCCAGGAAAAUGGCCAUCCAGCAGCUGCUCAACCAGCCACACCACGGUGCAGGUAUCAAGGCUCAGGUGUGUUCCCUGAUGGAGCUGCUCACCACCACCCUGUACCAGGCUCACGCUCUGUUCUACACCGUGCCUGAGGGGAUGUCCCCGGACCCAGCCCUGCCCUGUGGGUUGCUCUUCUCCACCCUGGAGAGCACCACAGGCCAGCACCCUGCAGGCAGAGGGGGGGUUCUGGAGGAGGACUUGAAGCUGAGCAGCUGGUUCAAGUACCUGCCAGAGUCCGUGGUGGAAUUCCAGCCAGCCCUGCGGACCCUGGCACACCCCAUCAGCCAGGAGCACCUCAGGGAGACCCUGCAGCAGUGGAUCAGCAUGUGCAGUGAUGACAUCAGGGCCGGGGUCAGCAGCCUGCUGGUGUACGUGAGGAGCAUGAAGGGGCUGGCAGGGAUCCGAGAUGCCGUGUGGGAGCUGCUCUCCAGCGAGUCAGGCAGCCACAGCUGGGAGGCCAUGUGCCGGCGGCUCCUGGACAGGCCCGUGUCCCUCUGGGAGGACCUGCUGCAGCAGCUCUUCCUGGACAGGCUGCAGACUCUGACCAAAGACGGGUUCGACUCCAUCUCCAGCAGCUCCAAGCAGCUGCUCGCUUUAGCCUUGCAGGAACUGGAAGUCAAACCGGGCAGCUCUGCCCUGAGCAAGCAGAUCCAGCUGGAGCACAACGUGGCGCUGUUCCUGUGGUCGGAGGGCCCCGGGGACCUGCCGGCGGACGCGGCGUGGGUGAGCGUGGGGCAGCGCGGGCCCUUCGCCCGCAGCGGGCUGGCCAUGAAGGCGCAGGCGCUCACGCCGUGCGUGCAGAGCUUCUGCUCGGCCCUGGACUCCAAGCUGAAGGCCAGGCUGGAUGACCUCCUGUCCUACCUCCCCGCGGAGCCCUCGGUGCCCAAGGAGCCGGCGGUGCAGCCGCGCUCUGCCUUCGACCGCUUCGCCGACGCCGGCACCGUGCGGGGGCUGCUGCGUGACCAGUGCGUCGCCUGCGUCCAGCACGUGCUGGGCUGCGUCAGGGAGGAGCUCCAGAGUGCCCAGGGCCUGCUGGGGGGGCAGCUGGGCCCCCCUGGCGAUGCCCGGCUCAACGCCGUCCUGUUCAUGGCCAGGCUGUGCCAGUCCCUGCCCGAGCUGUGCCCUCACCUGCAGCGCUGUGUCCUGGGCCAGGAGGGUGGCACGGACACGGUGCCCAAGGAAACGCGCUCCAACAAGAAGCUGGGGAAGGGGAAGGCCCAGGAAGUGACCCCUGAGCAGGCCAAGUGGCAGGGCCUGAAGGCAGAGCUCCUGCAGCAGAGCCUGUUGGCUUAUCAGAUCUGGAGCUCAGCUGUCACCAAGAGUCUGGUUCAGUGCUUCACCCACACGCUGCUGCUGGACACGGCUGGUUCUGUCCUGGCCACAGCCACCAACUGGGAUGAAAUUGAAAUCCAGGAGGAAACGGAGUCUGGGAGCAGCGUAACGUCAAAGAUCCGGCUGCCUGUGCAGCCCUCCUGGCACGUCCAGUGCCUCCUGUUCAGCCUGUGCCAGGAGGUGAAUCGGGUGGGUGGCCACACUCUUCCCAAGGUGACCCUGCAGGAGCUGCUGAGGACCUGCAUGGCAGAGGUGCUCGCUGCCUACCAAAAGCUCAUGGAACAGAAGCAGGAGAAGAAGGUGGACACCUUCCCCCUGACCCAGACCAGAGCUCUGCAGUUACUCUACGACCUGCGGUACCUCAGCAUCAUCCUGACAGCCAAGGGUGAGGAGGGGAAGCCCAGCAGGAUCAAGCAGGACUCUGGGAUUGAGAAGGUGAUCGACUUCCUGGAGGGACACAUUGAUCCCUUCGACUUGGACGUUUUCACUCCACACCUGAACAGCAACUUGAACCGCCUGGUCCAGAGAACCUCCGUUCUCUUUGGUUUGCUGACGGGGACAGAGAACCAGUACACGAGCCGGAGUGGGGCACUGAGCUCCCAGGAGCUGCACAACAUCCUGCCCUUGGCAUCCAGCCAGAUCAGGUUUGGGCUCCUGCCGCUGAGUAUGUCGAGCUCACGGAAGAGCAAGUCCACUGCCAGGAGCACAGAGCGAGUCCAGGCAAUAAGCACCCUGAAAUGCAGUGAGGAUUUACACAGCUCAGGCAUCUCGAGGGCAAUGCAUCCAAGACAGUUCAUUGAGGAGGGGCUGCAAGAAAGGCUGAAGGACAGUGGCUCAUGACUGAACUCCUUUGCAGUGGGACGCUGCCCUCUAACCCCGAGGAGCCUGGCCUGGUUGCAGCUCCUGUGCUCCCCAGAGAAGACGAGGCCUCUCGCCCGGGCUCCCUGUUCAGGCAGCUCGUCACCGAGGACGAGGAC